rnacentral:tRNA from 1 species
GUCAAUAUGGCCGAGCGGUUAAGGCGUGUGACUAGAAAUCACAUGGGUUUUCCCGCGCAGGUUCAAAUCCUGCUGUUGACG